rnacentral:rRNA from 1 species
GAUGAACGCUGGCGGCGUGCUUAACACAUGCAAGUCGAACGGUCGUAGCAAUACGAUAGUGGCGCACGGGUGAGGAACACGUAGCUAACCUGCCCCCAAGUACGGGAUAACUUCCCGAAGGGAUGCUAAUACCGUAUAAGCUCACGCUGAGUAGGUAGGUGUGAGAAAAGGUUUACUGCUUGGGGAGGGGGCUGCGGCCCAUCAGGUAGUUGGUGAGGUAACGGCUCACCAAGCCGACGACGGGUAGGGGGUCUGAGAGGAUGGCCCCCCACACUGGGACUGAGACACGGCCCAGACUCCUACGGGAGGCAGCAGUGAGGGAUAUUGCGCAAGGGGGGGAAACCCUGACGCAGCGA